rnacentral:rRNA from 1 species
AUUGAACGCUAGCGGGAUGCCUUACACAUGCAAGUCGAACGGAGUGGCGAACGGGUGAGUAAUGUAUCGGAACGUGCCCAGUAGCGGGGGAUAACUACGCGAAAGCGUAGCUAAUACCGCAUACUAUUGGAGCGGCCGAUAUCGGAUUAGCUAGUCGGUGGGGUAACGGCUCACCAAGGCGACGAUCCGUAGCUGGUUUGAGAGGACGACCAGCCACACGGGGACUGGGACACGGCCCAAACUCCUACGGGAAGCAGCAGUGGGGAAUUUUGGACAAUGGGGAAAACCCUGAUCAAGCCAGCCCACAUGUGCAUUGAAGGCCUUCGGGUUGUAAAGCACUUUUGGCCGGAGAGCGGUACCUGCAGAAUAAGCACCGGCUAACUACGUGCCAGCAGCCGCGGUAAUUC